GUGCUCAUUUUGGCAGCACAUAGGCUAAAAUUGGAACAAUACAAGAAGAUUAGCAUGGACCCUGCGCAAGGAUGACACAGAAAUUCGUGAAGCAUUCCAUAUUAAC
rnacentral:snRNA from 1 species